UCCCUGCUGGCUCAGAUGGUAAAGCGUCUACCUGCAAUUUGGGAGACCCAGAUUCGAUCCUGGGUUGGGAA
rfam:Ovis aries breed Texel chromosome 7, whole genome shotgun sequence.